UGACCUCGGAUCAGCUAUUAUAUUCGCCUUCC
rnacentral:rRNA from 1 species